rfam:Staphylococcus cohnii subsp. cohnii strain 073AN genome assembly, contig: ERS576551SCcontig000001
AACUUAUCCAGAGAAGUGGAGGGACUUGACCCGUUGAAACUUCAGCAACAGACUUAUCUAUUAUCAUAAGUACUGUGCUACAUUCAACAAGUAAAAUACUUGAUAGAUAAGUG